CAAAAAGUAGUUUAAAAAAAACGAAGACCUUGGGAGUCUUAAUUUUACCGACCGCUAACUUUUUGA
rnacentral:tRNA from 1 species